CCCAACAGACAGGAACAUCAGGAGGUGUAGGAAGACUGUACUGUAAUUCCUACAGCACUGCAUUUCCAGUUUUCCCUAAGGAAAUUGUCCUAUGUUCACAUUUCUACUUUUGUUUUUUUGUUUUUUUUAUUGUGCUCUGCAGUGCUGUCUUUUUCUUUUCUGUAUCGCAAUGACAUGGUCUGUCAUCAAAUUACAGUCUCUUGCAAUCAAUGCAAUCAAUCUCCCACAUACACUGAGGUGUAACUUACAAUUUACAAUGAUUGUCAUCAAAACUUUAGCCAUAGUUUACAUCAGAACAUCCCUCCAGAGUACACUGUUAUAUUGACAACAUGACUAAGCAAUUUGACUGUCUUAUCCGUACACAAUGACACAAGGACUUGUCAUUCUGAUGGCACUGACAUGUUCAUUGACACAGAUAUUUACUUUUGAGAGAUGUACUAAGGAUUUUGAGCAAGAGACUGGCUUUUGCAGCUAAUCCAUGGUGUUUUGCUGUUUGUACAAAUUGUUUUGAGAAAAGAACUAACUGUUUUGCAAAUGUCGAGGAUGAUUCGAGAAAUGUACCAAAGCGACUGAGAAAAACUGUAAAAUGGGUCUCUGUUGAAUAGUCUCACCCCCCUCAACAUUUAGGCAUUAGUUCAGUUCAUAAGUCUGUACAUGCAAAAUGGUUGAACAAGCUGUCAUAAUAUGUCAAGCAUAUUUCUAUACAUGUCCAUUAGAUGUUCCUGAAUCUGUCCUGAAUUGGUAAAUUGCUCCCAGGUGAAUCUUGACUUUCUCUAACGGUGGGAAAUGUGUGAAGUAUUAGAUCAACCAAUGAUCAACCACUUUUCUGAAAUAGCUCAAAGGUGCAUCUCAUGAACCAUCAACUGGCAAGUAUAUAUAUUGCCGGAGCACAACACAAUGUUACAAUGUCUGACAAUGGAAGGACAAGGAAUUGGACGGGGUCAACAGCCAGAGAGAAGAAGAGGAAGAGGAGUGAGGCUGCGUGGCGGAGGAUAUGGGAGGCAAAACAGAGGAAGAGGCAGAGGACAUAUGCGCGUUCCUGAUGAGAUAAGAGCUACACUUGUAGACCAAGUUCUCAAUCAUGGGCUUACAAUGGCUGAGGCUGGCCGAAGGGUGCAGCCAAAUGUUGGGAGAACAACUGUGUCCUCAAUCAUUCAGACUUUUCGUUGACAGAACAGGUAUGUAAUCUAACAAUAGGCACUGUAAUGUAAUACUGUAUACUUUCUGUGAUGCUUUAUACAAUAUUGCAGUAUUCGACUUUCACUUUACAAUAUACAGUAAGUAUACUAUAUACAGUGACAUUGUAGGUGUAGGAAGACUGUACUGUAAUUCCUACAGCACUGCAUUUCCAGUUUUCCCUAAGGAAAUUGUCCUACGUUCACAUUUCUACUAUUGUUUUUUUUUGUUUUUUUUAUUGUGCUCUGCAGUGCUGUCUUUUUCUUUUCUGUAUCGCAAUGACAUGGUCUGUCAUCAAAUUACAGUCUCUUGCAAUCAAUCUCCCACAUACACUGAGGUGUAACUUCCAAUUUACAAUGACUGUCAUCAAAACUUUAGCCAUAGUUUACAUCAGAACAUCCCUCCAGAGUACACUGUUAUACUGACAACAUGACUAAGCAAUUUGACUGUCUUAUCCGUACACAAUGACACAAGGACUUGUCAUUCUGAUGGCACUGACAUGUUCAUUGACACAGAUAUUUACUUUUGAGAGAUGUACUAAGGAUUUUGAGCAAGA